UACAGAGGGGGCAAGCGUUGUUCGGAAUUACUGGGCGUAAAGGGCGCGUAGGCGGCCUGCUAAGUCGAACGUGAAAUCCCCGGGCUCAACCCGGGAACUGCGUCCGAUACUGGUUGGCUUGAAUCCGGGAGAGGGAUGCGGAAUUCCAGGUGUAGCGGUGAAAUGCGUAGAUAUCUGGAGGAACACCGGUGGCGAAGGCGGCACCCUGGACAGGCAUUGACGCUGAGGCGCGAAAGCCAGGGGAGCAAACGGG
rnacentral:rRNA from 1 species